GAGAACGUGAAAUCGUUGAAGUGGAACCGGAGAGAGUUGACGUAGUAUGGUGGAUAAGUAUUGCAAGAAUCGCUUCAAACAAUGAAUGUGAUCGAGUAAUAUGUACGUCACCAAAGACUGCGCUGACAGCAUCGACUACACGCUCUGAACUGUGUUGACAUGUUGCCUAUUCUAGUAUAUAGAAUGGUGUCUUGUGUUACGUGGUGAAGUUUGUUGUUAUGUUGUUGAUGUUGAUAAGUAUGAUUAUACACCAAGUAUAAUUAUGUCAGUGUAAAAGUCAACCACCUCUCCGACCCGUCUUGAAACACGGACCGAGGAGUGUAACUUGUACGCGAGUCAUUGGGUGGAAAAACCUUAAGGCGAAACGAAAGUGAAGGCACGGUUAACCGGCUGACAUGGGAAACGUGCGGUAUUGUUAGCGAGACGUUACACCAUGGCCCUGUCUUGUCUGCAUGCAGAUGGGCAGCGGUAGAGCGUACAGGUUGCGACCCGAAAGAUGGUGAACUAUGCCUGAGCAGGACGAAGUCAGAGGAAACUCUGGUGGAAGUCCGUAUCGGUUCUGACGUGCAAAUCGAUCGAUAGACU
rnacentral:rRNA from 1 species